rnacentral:rRNA from 1 species
GAGUUUGAUCAUGGCUCAGAUUGAACGCUGGCGGCAGGCCUAACACAUGCAAGUCGAACGGUAACGGGAAGCAGCCUGCUGCUUCGCUGACGAGUGGCGGACGGGUGAGUAAUGUCUGGGAAACUGCCUGAUGGAGGGGGAUAACUACUGGAAACGGUAGCUAAUACCGCAUAACGUCGCAAGACCAAAGAGGGGGACCUUCGGGCCUCUUGCCAUCGGAUGUGCCCAGAUGGGAUUAGCUAGUAGGUGGGGUAACGGCUCACCUAGGCGACGAUCCCUAGCUGGUCUGAGAGGAUGACCAGCCACACUGGAACUGAGACACGGUCCAGACUCCUACGGGAGGCAGCAGUGGGGAAUAUUGCACAAUGGGCGCAAGCCUGAUGCAGCCAUGCCGCGUGUAUGAAGAAGGCCUGGUU